GCUAUUCUUUUAGCUCGGUUGCUAGAACAUGAGAUUCUUAAUCUCAGGGUUGUGGGUUCGAGCCUCACAUUGGGCA